CCUACGGGUGGCAGCAGUGGGGAAUAUUGGACAAUGGGCGAAAGCCUGAUCCAGCCAUGCCGCGUGUGUGAAGAAGGCCUUCGGGUUGUAAAGCACUUUCAGUGGGGAAGAAAGCCUUGGGGCUAAUACCCUCGAGGAAGGACAUCACCCACAGAAGAAGCACCGGCUAACUCCGUGCCAGCAGCCGCGGUAAUACGGAGGGUGCGAGCGUUAAUCGGAAUUACUGGGCGUAAAGCGCGCGUAGGCGGUCUGAUAAGCCGGUUGUGAAAGCCCCGGGCUCAACCUGGGAACGGCAUCCGGAACUGUCUGGCUAGAGUGCAGGAGAGGAAGGUAGAAUUCCCGGUGUAGCGGUGAAAUGCGUAGAGAUCUGGAGGAAUACCAGUGGCGAAGGCGGCCUUCUGGACUAACACUGACGCUGAGGUGCGAAAGCGUGGGUAGCAAACAGGAUUAGAUACCCCAGUAGUC
rnacentral:rRNA from 1 species